rnacentral:tRNA from 1 species
GUGUAUUUAGUUUAAGGAGAAUUAUUGUUUUGCAGGCAAUAGGUUGGUAGAGUUUCUAAGUAUACU